UGAGGAAUAUUGGUCAAUGGGCGUAAGCCUGAACCAGCCAAGUCGUGUGAAGGAUGAAGGUUCUAUGGAUCGUAAACUUCUUUUAUAGGGGAAUAAAGUGCACCACGAGUGGUGUUUUGUAUGUACCCUAGGAAUAAGCAUCGGCUAACUCCGUGCCAGCAGCCGCGGUAAUACGUAGGUGGCAAGCGUUGUCCGGAAUUACUGGGUGUAAAGGGAGCGCAGGCGGGAAGUCAAGUCAGCUGUGAAAACUAUGGGCUCAACCCAUAGACUGCAGUUGAAACUGAUUUUCUUGAGUGAAGUAGAGGUAGGCGGAAUUCCGAGUGUAGCGGUGAAAUGCGUAGAUAUUCGGAGGAACACCAGUGGCGAAGGCGGCCUACUGGGCUUUAACUGACGCUGAGGCUCGAAAGUGUGGGGAGCAAACA
rnacentral:rRNA from 1 species